rnacentral:rRNA from 1 species
AUUGAACGCUGGCGGCAGGCCUAACACAUGCAAGUCGAACGAGUGGCGGACGGGUGAGUAAUGUCUCGGAAACUGCCUGGUAGAGGGGGAUAACUACUGGAAACGGUAGCUAAUACCGCAUACCAUCAGAUCUGCCCAGAUGGGAUUAGCUAGUUGGUGGGGUAACGGCUCACCAAGGCGACGAUCCCUAGCUGGUCUGAGAGGAUGACCAGCCACACUGGAACUGAGACACGGUCCAGACUCCUACGGGAGGCAGCAGUGGGGAAUAUUGCACAAUGGGCGCAAGCCUGAUGCAGCCAUGCCGCGUGUAUGAAGAAGGCCUUCGGGUUGUAAAGUACUUUCAGCGGGGAGGCGUUACCUGCAGAAGAAGCACCGGCUAACUACGUGCCAGCAGCCGCGGUAAUUC